rnacentral:rRNA from 1 species
UACGUAGGGUCCGAGCGUUUGUCCGGAAUUACUGGGCGUAAAGAGCUCGUAGGUGGUUUGUCGCGUUGUUCGUGAAAACUCACAGCUCAACUGUGGGCGUGCGGGCGAUACGGGCAGACUUGAGUACUGCAGGGGAGACUGGAAUUCCUGGUGUAGCGGUGGAAUGCGCAGAUAUCAGGAGGAACACCGGUGGCGAAGGCGGGUCUCUGGGCAGUAACUGA